AGUGAACGCUGGCGGUAGGCCUAACACAUGCAAGUCGAACGGCAGCACAGUAAGAGCUUGCUCUUACGGGUGGCGAGUGGCGGACGGGUGAGGAAUACAUCGGAAUCUACUUUUUCGUGGGGGAUAACGUAGGGAAACCUACGCUAAUACCGCAUACGACCUACGGGUGAAAGCAGGGGAUCUUCGGACCUUGCGCGAUUGAAUGAGCCGAUGUCGGAUUAGCUAGUUGGCGGGGUAAAGGCCCACCAAGGCGCCGAUCCGUAGCUGGUCUGAGAGGAUGAUCAGCCACACUGGAACUGAGACACGGUCCAGACUCCUACGGGAGGCAGCAGUGGGGAAUAGUGGACAAUGGGCGCAAGCCUGGUCCAGCCAUACCGCGUGGGUGAAGAAGGCCUUCGGGUUGUGAAGCCCUUUUGUUGGGAAAGAAAAGCAGCAGGUUAAUACCCCGCUGUUCUGACGGUACCCAAAGAAUAAGCACCGGCUAACUUCGUG
rnacentral:rRNA from 1 species